GCUGCGGCCCAGGAGCCUCCGCCGACAGGGCAGUACGGUUGCCGAGCCAACGCCAUCCUCCGUUCUUUCCGUCACUCACUCACUAAUCACUGUUCCUGAGUUCCUUCACUUCUCACCCGUCAUUUAUUGCGCGCCUAUUCUGUGCCAGGCACUCGGCCAAGCACUGUGAGGCCUUCAAAGAUCAUUGCUUUGUCUCUCCCAAACCCUUCCGCCCAGUCCCACACCCGGAGCUGCAACGCUCUGCCAUUAUCCCUGAUUCUUAACCGCCGCCUUUCUCCUCCUUUCCGUUCUUGCCUCACUUGGCCUCCCUGAGACACUUGAUUUGCCCCAACCUUCUUCCUCUGUCUUGGUUCUCCCACUCUCAUCAGCUCUGCAUCCUCUGGGUCCUCUCCCACUUCUCCCCAUUCCGUUGGGGCUAGUUGAAUCUGGUGCCAUCCUCCUUGCACCUGCGUCUCUCUCUCUCUCAGCAAACGUCAUCCCUAACUCUUCCCUUCUCCUUCCCUUUCCCACACGCCAACAAUGGCUGAAUCCUCUGAUUUGACCUCAUUGUCUCUCAGACAACUCACCCUCUCUCCCUUCUCACUACCCCUCCCUCGGCUCAGUUCCACACCAUUUGUAAUGGCCAAGGCCUUCUUACCCUUUCCCCAGCGUCCAGUGUGGCCAGUUUCCAGGCCAUCCUGUGCUGGGCCACGACAGUCAACUUGUGAUACUAAGUUGCAUUACUGGAAGUAUCAUGUCAAAGUUUGGGUGUUCCAUCUUGGGCAACUGGCAAAGAGGAGAGUAUUAAAAAAAAAAGAGCUGCCAUUGUGUUCGGAAUUGGUGGGUUCUUGGUCUCACUGACUUCAAGAAUGAAGCCACGGACCCUCGCGAGUCCUGCCUGCGCCUCUGAGCUUAAUCUCUGUUCUGGUAAGAUGUCAAGAUUCUGGCCUCCUCCACCAAGAAGGGGAUCAGGGCUUCAGCCACAGAGCUUCACCACCAAAUGUUAAGACAUCACCUCCCAUUGAAGACUCUCUCUGUUGAUCUCCCUUUUGAGCUUCAGUUCCUGCCAGAAAAAGGGCUGCAGCCUUCAGAUGCAGAUUUGGGAAGCUUCUGAAGUCUUUAGGCUUCUUUAUCUCAUUAGCCAGGGAUCCUUUAAAACUUAGGGAGUCCUAUACAGGUAACAAUCUUAGAGGGAUUGUGGAAGAGGCCUCAUGUCCCCUUAAACCUUCCACCACCCAGAAUUCUUCUUCAGUCCUCCUAAAUGUCUCACUUUGACCCCUUGUUAGCUGAAUUCUGAUUUUUGUACAGUCACUUGAUGCUGCCCGUGGCCUCCUUCACUUUCAGGUGCCUGACUCCUUGCUGGACUGAUGGCCCUGCUAAAUUUGGGCAGUCAGAUGUUGCCCUUGCUGGGUCUGUGACAUCUAUUUCACCUUGAAAGCCAGGACUCCUGAAAAUCCCAUCAGCACUGAGCAGUGGGAAGCUCCAUCUGUCCCUGCCACCUGCUGCUGGGGAUGGCUAGACGCCUGCCCACGUUGAGAUUUUCUCUGCACUCAGUUUUUCAGACUGAACCUUUCUCCUUCUGACAGAAGCUUCCAGGAGCAUGUGGUGGCUCCUGAAGGUCUCACAGAUCAAUUUAAAAAAGCAAGCUUUUUCUUCCCCUGGAGAAACAGCAAGAUUGGUGACUCGUCUGUCACUGCUAAUUAGCAGAAAGGGUCUGAACACUGGGGAACACGGAGAGAGAAGAUGAUUGGAAUUAACCAGACACCAGGGUUGAAAAAAAAAAUCCAUAAUGUGGUGGUGCUCAGAGAACAGAAAGAAAAUAAAGUUAAUCAGCAGCAGUGGUCUGCUGUAGAGUCUUGAGGAGAGCCACUGCAGAGUGCCUUGGGUUGCCCGUGGAGAUACGAAGAAGCAGCAGCGUGUAGCCAAGGCACCAAACAGAAACCCCAUCUUGGAAGAGGCUGGUGACCAGGAAUUAAGCAAGGAAUGCAUUCAUUUAAGCUUACAGGGUUCUAUCCAAGAUCAGUUCUCUUCUCUGAGAUUGAUGUAGACCCUUCCAACCAGAAGUUGGAAACUGGCAGCAUGUAUUUUCUUUGGAGAGCACAAUUUUAAAAAUUUACUUGAACUGGAA